UACGGGGGGGCAAGCGUUGUUCGGAAUUACUGGGCGUAAAGGGCUCGUAGGCGGCCAACUAAGUCGGAUGUGAAAUCCCCAGGCUUAACCCGGGAACUGCAUCCGAUACUGGAUGGCUUGAAUCCGGGAGAGGGAUGCAGAAUUCCAGGUGUAGCGGUGAAAUGCGUAGAUAUCUGGAGGAAUACCGGUGGCGAAGGCGGCAUCCUGGACCGGCAUUGACGCUGAGUGAGCGAAAGCUAGGGAGCAACGGG
rnacentral:rRNA from 1 species